rnacentral:rRNA from 1 species
AUUGAACGCUGGCGGCAUGCUUUACACAUGCAAGUCGAACGGUAACAGGCCUUCGGGUGCUGACGAGUGGCGAACGGGUGAGUAAUGCAUCGGAACGUGCCCAGAGGUGGGGGAUAACGCAGCGAAAGCUGUGCUAAUACCACAUGUGAUCUGAGGAUGAAAGCGGGGGACCAGGCAGCAAUGUUUGGCCUCGCGCCUUUGGAGCGGCCGAUGUCAGAUUAGGUAGUUGGUGGGGUAAAGGCCUACCAAGCCGACGAUCUGUAGCUGGUCUGAGAGGACGACCAGCCACACUGGGACUGAGACACGGCCCAGACUCCUACGGGAGGCAGCAGUGGGGAAUUUUGGACAAUGGGCGCAAGCCUGAUCCAGCAAUGCCGCGUGCGGGAAGAAGGCCUUCGGGUUGUAAACCGCUUUUGUACGGAACGAAAAGGCUCUGGCUAAUACCUGGGGCUGAUGAUGGUACCGGAAGAAUAAGCACCGGCUAACUACGUG